rnacentral:lncRNA from 1 species
UAACACAAGCACACACAGGUGCGCCCAGGCUGGCGGCCGAGCUUCAGGAAGCGCUGGUUCUGAGUGAGGCCGUGCGGGCGCUGGGCAACACAGCCGGGCCCUGGCCGAGGACCACAGGUCGCCCACCAGGCCCUGCACCAGCAGAGCUUCAGAGCGGAAGUAUGUGUGACCUACUCGGCUCCUCAUAUCCUGCAAAUGGCACCCGGACCACAAUGAGCAGCUGGGGCCACCUGCCCCAUGGCAUCGCUGUGCCGAGGACACAGAGCGGCCGAUGGGAAUGGGCGAGUGAGCACAUGGUCCAAGGAACGCCCACCCCACUUCUUCGAGUCAGAGGGAGCCUACGCCGAGGUUGGACACGGGUCUGGGGCUCUGCGGGGUCAUCUUGGGGAGCUGCAGGUCACUCCGUGGCUCCCUCUGCUCCCGAGGAGUCCUGGUCGCUGGUGGCUGCCUCCCAGGUGACCUCCUCAUUUCAGCUUCACAGCCCCAAACGGUUUCCCGACUGUUGGCCCAUCCUGAACUGAACGCUGCCUGAGCGACGGCGGAGACUGCAGAGCCAGGCCGCCACCCAUGAGGCUGACGUUCUUCCCUCUACUCCCACCAGACGCCUCCCCAGCUGGUGAGGACGCACAGAGGCCACGGUCUUCCCUCUACUCCCACCAGACGCUUCCCCAGCUGGUGAGGACCCACACGAGGCCACGGUCUUCCCUCUACUCCCACCAGACGCCUCCCCAGCUGGUGAGGACACACACGAGGCCACGUUCAUUCUCUACUCCCACCAGACGCCUCCCCAGCUGGUGAGGACACACACGAGGCCACGUUCAUUCUCUACUCCCACCAGACGCCUCCCCAGCUGGUGAGGACACACAUGAGGCCACGUUCAUCCUCUACUCCCACCAGACGCCUCCCCAGCUGGUGAGGACACACAUGAGGCCACGUUCAUCCUCUACUCCCACCAGACGCCUCCCCAGCUGGUGAGGACACACACGAGGCCACGUUCAUUCUCUACUCCCACCAGACGCCUCCCCAGCUGGUGAGGACACACAUGAGGCCACGUUCAUCCUCUACUCCCACCAGACGCCUCCCCAGCUGGUGAGGACACACACGAGGCCACGGUCUUCCCUCUACUCCCACCAGACGCCUCCUCAGCUGGUGAGGACGUGCAGCGAACAAAGGAGCUGUGAGCUCCUAAGGAGCCACAGGCUCUCCUCCCCAUGUUGGCCCUUAUUCUGUGCUCUCUGGAUUGUCCCCC